AGGGUCCACCAGCGGAGGUUCUUGGUUCUGUGAUUGGAAGAUUAGCUUUCUUCGAGGAAUACCUAAAUCAGUGUCAAAGUAAAGAGACUGAGGAGGAMAACACACCAAAAAGUGACACUGAAAUUGCAGUUUCGAUCCAAUCUCGCUAAACAAGCUAGGACAGACGUGAUGCAGUCUAAAAUGUACGUGGGUUUGAAGACUAUGGCAUCAUGACUCAGAUACGCCUCGAUGGCUAUCUGAGCGUGCUACAACUUGAGUUUUGUCAACAUUUUCAGUCUUUCUACUAACUCCAACAAGAGAGAGUUUUUUUCCUGCUUUUAUGAAAUAUUAACCAACUUAUUUCCGUGCCGAAGAUUCCUUUUUUCACAAAGUAUAUAUUGAUAUCGUACGAGAAAAUAUUCUGACGGUGCUCAUACGUAAAUACAUMAAAGGUGGUUAUUUUCGUUUGUCAACAUAUAAAAGAUAUUGCUCUCUGUAUUAAUUGAAAUCAUUGUUUGUACAAUUUUCUCUAAAUUAACAAUAUCAAAGCUUAGGGCCCACAGUAUUCGUGUCGCGAAGAAUAUUGGAACGCGGCCCAGAACGGUGCUUUCUGAAGCGUGCAUGAAUACGUUAUUGACUGCGUGCAAGUUACGCGUCAUUGAGGAUCUAAUGAUGGCAAGCACUUAACGUAGAGCUGUUAAGACUUUGUUUAGAACUUAUGAAUAAUCACGAAUCAUCGAGAAAAUUGGCGCCAAGUAUUCUGUCUUCAUUAAUGAAUGUGCGGCUUACCGCACUUCAUGUGGACAAGCCCAAAAAUUCUACCUUUGGUACUCCUUGUCUAGCGCAUURAUCUCGUCAUAUAAUGAAUGGCAUACAUGAAAGAUACGUAAGAAAUACGUAAGGGAUACGUAAGGGAUAUGUCUAGUAGAUAUUGAACUGAGAACAUGCGCUCGUGAAUAAAAGUCCUUACAUUUUGCUGUAGUGUUUAAAAUUUAUCGCAACGUAAAUUAUAAUUACGUAUCUUCAUCCGCACGUGAUCAUCUCCGCUUAAUUGCGUAUCGUAAGGUCAAUAUUCCWCAAUAUUAAUAAACUCAUUGUUGAUAUCACU